UACGUAGGGUGCGAGCGUUAAUCGGAAUUACUGGGCGUAAAGCGUGCGCAGGCGGUUCGUUGUGUCGGUGGUGAAAGCCCCGGGCUUAACCUGGGAAUGGCCAUGGAAACUGGCGAACUGGAGUGUGGCAGAGGGGGGUGGAAUUCCGCGUGUAGCAGUGAAAUGCGUAGAGAUGUGGAGGAACACCGAUGGCGAAGGCAGCCCCCUGGGCUAACACUGACGCUCAUGCACGAAAGCGUGGGGAGCAAACAGG
rnacentral:rRNA from 1 species